GGCUGGAUAGCUUAGGGGUAGAGCGGCUGAUUGUUAAUCAGCGGGUCAGUGGUUCAAAUCCACUUCCAGCCU
rnacentral:tRNA from 1 species